GUGCCAAGCAGCCGCGGUAAUUCCAGCUCCAAUAGCGUAUAUUAAAGUUGUUGCAGUUAAAAAGCUCGUAGUUGAACCUUGGGUCUGGCUGGCCGGUCCGCCUCACCGCGUGUACUGGUCCGGCCGGACCUUUCCUUCUGGGGAGCCGCAUGCCCUUCACUGGGCGUGUCGGGGAACCAGGACUUUUACUUUGAAAAAAUUAGAGUGUUCAAAGCAGGCCUUUGCUCGAAUACAUUAGCAUGGAAUAAUAGAAUAGGACGUGCGGUUCUAUUUUGUUGGUUUCUAGGACCGCCGUAAUGAUUAAUAGGGAUAGUCGGGGGCAUCCGUAUUCAAUUGUCAGAGGUGAAAUUCUUGGAUUUAUUGAAGACGAACUACUGCGAAAGCAUUUGCCAAGGAUGUUUUCAUUAAUCAGUGAACGAAAGUUAGGGGAUCGAAGACGAUCAGAUACCGUCGUAGUCUUAACCAUAAACUAUGCCGACUCGGGAUCGGUGGGCGUCACUAUUUUGACUCCAUCGGCACCGUACGAGAAAUCAAAGUUUUUGGGUUCUGGGGGGAGUAUGGUCGCAAGGCUGAAACUUAAAGAAAUUGACGGAAGGGCACCACCAGGCGUGGAGCCUGCGGCUUAAUUUGACUCAACACGGGGAAACUCACCAGGUCCAGACACAAUAAGGAUUGACAGAUUGAGAGCUCUUUCUUGACUUUGUGGGUGGUGGUGCAUGGCCGUCCUUAGUUGGUGGAGUGAUUUGUCUGCUUAAUUGCGAUAACGAACGAGACCUUAACCUGCUAAAUAGCCCGGCCCGCUUUGGCGGGUCGCCGGCUUCUUAGAGGGACUAUCGGCUCAAGCCGAUGGAAGUUUGAGGCAAUAACAGGUCUGUGAUGCCC
rnacentral:rRNA from 1 species